rnacentral:lncRNA from 1 species
CGUGCAAAUGGUGGGUCUGACUUAACUAAAAAUUGGAGCAAUAUCCCAGGCACGGUGAGCUUCAUGAAUUAGAGACCAAGUUUUGGGUGCACCAUGAUUAGAGAAUCAUUGGACAAGAGUUGUCCACUCAUCGGUUGACCCAUCGCCAAUAACUGUUAGGUGAGGUGGUGAGCCAGUCGGUGAGACCGCACCACCCACUAAAAUCACUGAUCAUGAAGAUUUUCACAUCUCUACCAAGGGAGUGAAGGGAUCUGAGAAAAUAGUGGGAGCCUAAUUUAUUUAAAAAUAAAAUUUCUAAACAAAUUGAUUAAGUCUAAUUACAAAUCUAACUAGAAACUUUCGACUCUCUAUAGGAAACAUGUCUGCCUCCAACCCCCUGACCAAAAUAUAGACACCCAC